GAGAGCCAAGAGAUCCGUUGUUGAAAGUUAUAUUUGUUAUUAUAACAUGACGUUCAUUACACAAUGUUUGUAAAAAUAUUGACCGAAGUCAAUCAACAGUUCACAGGUGUUAUGGAUAUAGUUUAGCCCGAAGGCAAAUCACUAAUGAUCCUU
rnacentral:misc_RNA from 1 species